rnacentral:rRNA from 1 species
GGAAUAUUGGUCAAUGGACGCAAGUCUGAACCAGCCAUGCCGCGUGCAGGAUGACGGUCCUAUGGAUUGUAAACUGCUUUUGCACAGGAAGAAACAACGCUACGUGUAGCGUCUUGACGGUACUGUGAGAAUAAGGAUCGGCUAACUCCGUGCCAGCAGCCGCGGUAAUACGGAGGAUCCAAGCGUUAUCCGGAAUCAUUGGGUUUAAAGGGUCCGUAGGCGGUCAGAUAAGUCAGUGGUGAAAGCCCAUCGCUCAACGGUGGAACGGCCAUUGAUACUGUCUGACUUGAAUUAUUAGGAAGUAACUAGAAUAUGUAGUGUAGCGGUGAAAUGCUUAGAGAUUACAUGGAAUACCAAUUGCGAAGGCAGGUUACUACUAAUAUAUUGACGCUGAUGGACGAAAGCGUGGGUAGCGAACAGGAUUAGAUACCCUUG